GGCCCCGCCCCCCUCCCAAGGUCUCGACUUGUCCCGUGGCCCUCACCAGCCCCCGCGCGUCGGGGCCUCCGAGAUGAGGGGCUUCACGACUAGCCCUGCCGCCCCCUGCCACCGCUCCCUGCCCGAGACCCCGCGGUCUGGCCCCCCGGCCCGGGGCUGGGCUGCGGCUCUCCGACCCCCUCCCCCCGCACAGGAAGUGUCCGUCCGCGGCCAGUUUCCCCCGCUGGCUAGCGCCGCGGCCUCUCUAGGAGCGGCUGGAGGUGGAAACUCGUUGGCAUUAACCCUGGGCUGGAUGGCCCCGGCGUUAGGGCGAGGGGAAACGCAGCGUGCUGGAGCCAGCGGAAGGGGCUAGGGCAGUUGUGUGCCUAUAUCCUGGGUCUUCGUCUGUCCACGGGCCUGUCUGUCGAUCUCCCGAGCCCUGUGUCCCUCAGUGCGUGUGGCCAAGGGCGAGGCGACAAGCGAGACCAAGGUUCUAAGUGCUGAAGGAACCAGUCCAGAGAUCCUCCUGAAGAGAGGAAGCCUCUUUCUUUUUCAUUACCCUGUCUCUUCCCUUUACUCUCCUCAAAGCCUGAAUUUAACUGAAUCCCUGGGAACCUUAGUCCCUGGUUCCUGAAUUUUCUCACAGGGAAGCAGGAUUUCUUGCAGGGGAGGAUGACAAUGAAGAGUUCAGGAAGAGAAUUGACAGACAGAACCACAGGACCUUUUAAGUGAUCUAAGAACUUUCUAGUCCUAUCUGGUUUGACUGGAUGUUUGUGGAGGAAGAGAACCUGAGAAUACUGCCCCAGGUGUAUCUUUGAAUGCAGAAGAAAGUGACCCUGAAAAGACAACUUAAUAUCAUCCAAUCUUGUCCUUUUUCUGCCCUUCUUGCUGAAACAAGUUAGGUAACAUUCUUGACAAUUAAGGAGCCAAAUUAUCCUGUGUGAAUGUUACAGUGGCCAUGGAUUGUGUGUUUUCUUGCCUAACCGAACAAAUAAAGGUACCAAAAGAAUGAAGAUGUAAGAUUUGCUUUUGUUGAUUUGCAACUCUCAUCUUGGGCUGGGUUUUCUCUUGCCUGAGUCUGUCACAUGGCUGUUCUCUAAGGCCCAUCUUAUAACUGGGAUUGACUAUCCCCAUCCAGGUCAGUGCCUGGGUGUUAUCACAAGGAACAGACAGAUGCCUCUAAACCCUGACUGAGAAGUUGGCAAGGAACACAUGAAUGGUAUGGUGAAAAUGACAAGUCAGGCACAGUGUGUGCACCU